UUUGUACUUUCUAAACAAUACAUUUGUUACAGAUUUUGCUCAUUUAAUUUUCAGGUCCCGUCAUUUCAUUGGCUGUCUCAUUUAGUUCCGCCUCUAUUUUACCAACCUACUUCCGCAUUGAAACAUGGCGACUUGCAUUGGCAUGGUUACCCGGCUUUGCACAUAGAACGUCUUAAAACCGAUUUCAAGACGCUUUACAAGGCAGGGAACGAAAUUAUUUACCCCCAGCCGCUCCACACAUGAGAUGCAAAGUUGUCUGUGCGAACAUGUCCGCGAGGAAAGUGACAAGGUCAUUGCCAAUGUGGAGACUCGGAAAGGGGAUCUACGGGGAGAAGAUGUCAGGGAGAUUGUAAGCGUUUCUGUAUAUCCCAUCUCACCACACCAUGUUGAAUACUGUAGAUGCAGCCUAGUUACAUGCGCUUUGAAUGCUCUCUUGACCAUCAAGUCAUUGAAGUGUCUUUGAUGUGCAAGAGAGAUUGCCUCUGUGCUUUCAUAUGCUCUAUCUGUCAUUUGCCUUGAAGUACAUUCAUAUGAAUACAGCCUCCCUGGAUGUGGCAGUGUAGGCUACUGCAUUUGUAUCAAUCACAUUGCCUGGUCUCUAUAGGCCUACGUCAGUGGUGUGUUUCUGAUGCAAGUGUGUGUUGCAAGUGUGUGUUUGGCAGCAACUUGAGGUGGUGCUUGAGGAAAUCUCACAGCUGGAGGAGCAGAAGAAAGUGAUAAUCACAGAGUUCGGGCUCUUGUGGUCAGUUGAUAUAAUGACAAUGAUGCCAAUAACUGUGCCUCGAAACAUUGUUUUCAUGUUAUGAUGAGAUAUUAUUUUGUGGGCUUAUUGUGAUCAGCAUUUUCCUUCUCUUCACAGGAUCAGAAUAACAUGAAAGCCCUAGCUAAUGUACUGUAUGUUCUGUCUUGCCUGCUGUGACCUUAUGGUAUUUUCACUUAAUAUCAAGGCUGAAUAGAAAGAAUGCCCUUGUGGAGUAAGUAAACCAUUAUCUUCUUCAGAUUCCUGAGUUCAAGGAGGCUACGAAGGACGAUCGGGAGAUCCGUCACCGGCUGAGCCAGCUUUACCCCCGAGAACACUAUGGCUGAGCCCUGAGGCUGCCCAACACCACACACACCAAUGUGGGGUUUAUACCAAUGGUUGUGCCAGACAUGCUGAAGGGGGCUGUAUUUGAGGGUUGUGAAAUCCAGCCUCAUACCCACAGGUCUCAGGUGUACUCUCUGGACCCCACCUGCUUCCCUGACCUCAACCUGGCUGGCAAGGGGGAGAUGGGCGUAGCAGGUUAUUUAUGGACCAUGCUGUUAACUGGAAGGACCUUCCUGUCAUGCCUGUGUGCAGUAGCCCAUGUUACAGGGCUGAGACGGACACAGGCAGAGAGACUUGGGGCCUUUACAGAGUACAUCACUUCAACAAGGUGGAGAUGUUUGUUGUGACUGCAGAUGAGACUGGGGGAGGAGAGCUCUCAGAUGCCGGAGGAGUUCCUGUCCCUGCAGAAGGAGAUCUCCUCCCUGGAGCUCCACUAUAGAAAGGGACAGUGUGUGUGCCUUGUGCCUCGCAGCCCUGUCCGGGGAUGGAGGUGAUUUUGAAAUACAUCGGACCGAACCAGCCCAAUCGCAUGCCCCGCCCUGUCCCAAAGCCCAGAUGACAUCAUGCACCAACACUCUUACAUCAACAGAACAACUGAAGCCUUUCCAUCUACAGUUGAAGUCGGAAGUUUACAUACACCUUACACAAAUACAUUUAAACUCAGUUUUUCACAGUUCCUGACAUUUAAUCCUAGUCAAAAUUGCCUGUUUUAGGUAAGUUAGG